rnacentral:tRNA from 1 species
GCCGGCGUGGUGGAACUGGCAAACGCAGGGGACUCAAAAUCCCCCGGGCUUUACGCCCUUGAGAGUUCGAGUCUCUCCGCCGGCACCA